CGUGAGUGAAGAAGGCCUUAGGGUUGUAAAGCUCUUUCAGAUGUGAGGAUGAUGACGAUAGCAUCACAAGAAGCUCCGGCUAACUUCGUGCCAGCAGCCGCGGUAAUACGAAGGGAGCAAGCGUUGUUCGGAAUUACUGGGCGUAAAGGGCGUGUAGGCGGAUUAUCAAGUUAGGGGUGAAAUCCCGGGGCUCAACCUCGGCACUGCCUUUAAGACUGAUAAUCUAGAGUAUGUGAGGGGAUAAUGGAAUACCUAGUGUAGAGGUGAAAUUCGUAGAUACUAGGUGGAACACCAGUGGCGAAGGCGAUUAUCUGGCACAUUACUGACGCUGAGGCGCGAAAGCGUGGGGAGCAAACGGGAUUAGAUACCCCGGUAGUCCACGCCGUAAACGAUGUAUACUAGUUGUCGGGCAUUGGUUCGGUGACGCAGCUAACGCAUUAAGUAUACCGC
rnacentral:rRNA from 1 species